AAGGAAGAGCACAAGAGUCAGCAGUUCAGAAAUUGGGAUCCAGAGACACCAUGUUGGCUCUCUUGAGAACUCUGUGCUUCGGGCUUUCGGCAUUUUCACAGAUAAACCAGCCAGGUGAAGCAAACAAUGACUGCAUUGAAAACAGGCAUUGAAAGGCAGAGCUUGAGUUGUCCCAGUUUUUGUCCUGCAGAAGUCAAGGAAAUGGUCUCAAUUUGGAAAUUCAUUUCCUGCUGCGACUUGUGUUGAUGCAGUUUACACUGAAGAUAUGAAUCUGAUUUGACUCGGUGUAGGCGUUUUUCAAAUUGUGAAGUUUCGAGACUAAAGAAUGGAAGGACUUCUCUUAAACAAAAGGACUUCUCUUAAACAAAAGAAGCCCUUCUGCAUUUUAUGACAGAAGAAUUAAAAAGUGACCAGACAGGAAUGGCAAGGAACUACUGCCCGAAGUUUUCCUAACCAAGGAAUGUACAGAGUAAUACCAAAUGGUAUAAAAAGUGCUAUGCAAACUCAGUAGGAAGUCUAUAAUACAAUUGGCUGCAGGUGCAGCAUUUCACUGCUUCAAGUUAACUGAGUCACAUGGGUUAACUGGAGCUUUAUCAUAUCUGGAACAAUACAUUGCAGUUUCAGUGAGAUGCAAUAAAUAACGUGAGGUUAGACAUGGGCAAAAUUAUCACCACUUGUUCCAGAUAAUGCCUUGUCUUAAGCUGAAACCCUUAGAUAAAAAUCAGCGUAUUUAAGGACCAUAUGCAUUAUCUUUUGUUGUUGUUGUUUGUUCAUUCUUUAGAAAAUUAAAAUAAGCACUUUGUAAAAGCUUAACGCCUCAGGGUUUGUACCUCCUGUAUCUGUUUCCUGAAAUGAUACAUAGCACGUGCUGUUAGGAUGGAUGUUAGGGAUGAAUAUUCUUCCCACUGACCCAAGAUAAGUCAGCAGUGAAGUCUCUAGCCCUGUUUUGAAUAGUAAAUAUGUAGUCUAUUUAAUAUUCUG
rnacentral:lncRNA from 1 species